GGCACCGUGACUUAGCUGGUUAAAGCGCCCGCCUUCUAAACAGGAGACCCUGGGUUCAAAUCCCAGCGGUGCCU